UUUCCGUAGGUGAACCUGCGGAAGGAUCAUUAUUGAAUGAAACACUUCUGGCUUUAUGCUGUUGUGCUGGCCCUUUGGGCAAUGUGCACACGGCUCUGGUCACUUGUUUCUUCUGUUACACUUGUGCACUGCCUGUAGACACGCUGUGUCUAUGAUAUUUGUUAACACACAACAAUGUUAGUUGGCAUGUUAUAUAUAAUAAUAAAAUAUACAACUUUCAACAACGGAUCUCUUGGCUCUC
rnacentral:misc_RNA from 1 species